rnacentral:tRNA from 1 species
GCGAAAGUGGCGGAAUCGGUAGACGCGCCAGCCUUAGGAGCUGGUGGCCACCCGGCCGUGGGGGUUCGAGUCCCCCCUUUCGCA